GCCAGCAGCCAUAUCACCCUGCAGAUCACCACUGGCAGCCCCACUGGAGCUCAGCAGUGUGAGCCUGGUCAGUACCUGGAGGGGAGACUUCUGGGAAAGCUAUGGUUGCUGCUGGAA
ensembl:rRNA 5S_rRNA 5S ribosomal RNA